AUGAACGCUGGCGGCGUGCCUAAUACCUGCCAGUCGAGCGAACAGACGAGGAGCUUGCUCCUCUGACGUUAGCGGCGGACGGGUGAGUAACACGUGGAUAACCUACCUAUAAGACUGGGAUAACUUCGGGAAACCGGAGCUAAUACCGGAUAAUAUAUUGAACCGCAUGGUUCAAUAGUGAAAGACGGUUUUGCUGUCACUUAUAGAUGGAUCCGCGCCGCAUUAGCUAGUUGGUAAGGUAACGGCUUACCAAGGCAACGAUGCGUAGCCGACCUGAGAGGGUGAUCAGCCACACUGGAACUGAGACACGGUCCAGACUCCUACGGGAGGCAGCAGUAGGGAAUCUUCCGCAAUGGGCGAAAGCCUGACGGAGCAACGCCGCGUGAGUGAUGAAGGUCUUCGGAUCGUAAAACGCUGUUAUUAGGGAAGAACAAAUGUGUAAGUAACUAUGCACGUCUGGACGGUACCUAAUCAGAAAGCCACGGCGAACUACGU
rnacentral:rRNA from 1 species